CUCCCUUUUACCCAGCUCCAAUGCGUUCCUAAAAUGCAUAUUGGCUUAACAGGAUGCCGAGAAUGCAAAUCUCACAGCAGCUGAUGAGAAGAAACGUCAUUUCAAGCAGAGAGAGACAGAGAAGUGAAAGUUGCCGUGUUAGAAAGGAAAUGAUCUGACACCGGGAUGUGCAGUAACUUCCAUUGCCACCUCAAUUGCUCUGAGAGUGGGGCCAAUAAAUACAUGGAGAUCACCAAGGAAAAGGAUGUCAAAAUAGUCCGUGAUGGAGACAGACAUUGUCAUCUUAUGUGUAGUAAGCGGCCCGAUUUUUAAAAUGACAACAUCCAACGGCAUCAAAAGCAGGAAGGGAAGGGAGUCCGACCCAGGUGGUUACAUUUAUUUCUUCAUUAUUGAACAGAAACACGCCUCAGUGCUGGAUGACUCCUGGCUGUCUUGGCAGUUCUUUGCAUUUCCUCUACUGCCCAGUGCAUAGGUUGUGCUAUAAG
rnacentral:lncRNA from 1 species